UACAGAGGGUGCGAGCGUUAAUCGGAAUUACUGGGCGUAAAGCGCACGUAGGCGGCUUGGUAUGUCGGGUGUGAAAUCCCCGGGCUCAACCUGGGAACUGCAUCCGAAACUGCCUUGCUAGAGUAUGGGAGAGGGAAGUGGAAUUUCCGGUGUAGCGGUGAAAUGCGUAGAUAUCGGAAGGAACAUCAGUGGCGAAGGCGACUUCCUGGACCAAUACUGACGCUCAGGUGCGAAAGCGUGGGGGAGCAAACAGG
rnacentral:rRNA from 1 species